rnacentral:lncRNA from 1 species
CAAGAAAUUGAGAUAGCCCUGCUUCCCCCUGAAUGAGAUCGGAUCUCUUCUGAAAACGCCACCAGGAGAAUUUUCCAUGGUUGAGUGAAGCCGGUGCUUAAAAGUUUCUAAGGUACACCUACCUCAGUUGGGUGAGAGCUAAACAAUACUACAGGGAGGGAGGGAGGGAGGGAGAGGGUAAUAAUAAUAAAAAUCCUACCUUCGAUCAGUAGCUUUUAGCAUUGAUGCCCAUGCAUCGUGGAGCAUUUACGAAUACAGGGGACCGUGAAGUUUCCGUUGGCAACUCCGUCGACCAUGAAAGCUCUCAUGUAAAGCUCU